rnacentral:misc_RNA from 1 species
GAAUUACCAAACAUAGAGCCACAGACAAUUAUGAAUAUGCAUGUAUCAGCAAGGCAGGUAAGUAUGACAGAAGCUUAAGAGAAAAAAACAGAGUUGGGAAACAAACAAUCUCCAUAAAUGUGAAAUUAUCAGUACGUUUAGCAUAUGCAAAUAAUUAAGACUACCAACUGAGUAACUUUGCCACACAAAAAUAGUAUGAAA